rnacentral:rRNA from 1 species
AUUGAACGCUGGCGGCAGGCCUAACACAUGCAAGUCGAACGGUAGCACAGAGAGCUUGCUCUCGGGUGACGAGUGGCGGACGGGUGAGUAACGUCUGGGAAACUGCCCGAUGGAGGGGGAUAACUACUGGAAACGGUAGCUAAUACCGCAUAACGUCGCAAGACCAAAGUGGGGGACCUUCGGGCCUCACACCAUCGGAUGUGCCCAGAUGGGAUUAGCUAGUAGGUGGGGUAAUGGCUCACCUAGGCGACGAUCCCUAGCUGGUCUGAGAGGAUGACCAGCCACACUGGAACUGAGACACGGUCCAGACUCCUACGGGAGGCAGCAGUGGGGAAUAUUGCACAAUGGGCGCAAGCCUGAUGCAGCCAUGCCGCGUGUAUGAAGAAGGCCUUCGGGUUGUAAAGUACUUUCAGCGGGGAGGAAGGCGGUGAAGUUAAUAACUUCACCGAUUGACGUUACCCGCAGAAGAAGCACCGGCUAACUCCGUACCAGCAGCCGCGGUAA